AACGAACGCUGGCGGCAGGCUUAACACAUGCAAGUCGAACGCCCCGCAAGGGAGUGGCAGACGGGUGAGUAACACGUGGGAACGUGCCCUAAGGUUUGAAUAUUCCCGGGAAACUGGGAGCAAUACCAAAUGUGACCGCAAGGUGAAAGAUUUAUCGCCUUAGGAUCGGCCCGCGUCGGAUUAGCUAGUUGGUGGGGUAAAAGCCUACCAAGGCGACGAUCCGUAGCUGGUCUGAGAGGACGACCAGCCACACUGGGACUGAGACACGGCCCAGACUCCUACGGGAGGCAGCAGUGGGAAUCUUGGACAAUGGGCGCAAGCCUGAUCCAGCCAUGCCGCGUGAGUGAUGAAGGCCUUAGGGUUGUAAAACUCUUUCGCCGAGGACGAUAAUGACGGUACUCGGAGAAGAAGCU
rnacentral:rRNA from 1 species